CUAUUCGGCUGUUUACAGCGUUUGUAUGGUUUCCUGUUUGGCAGAUUGGUGUCUUUGGUAGCUGCCUGUGUAUCUGGAAGGGAAAUAUUCUCUAAACGGUGGUUUAACACUUUUAUGCCUGGGGGUGCCGUUACAAUGAGUAUAAAAUUGCAUAAAAGAAGGCCCUUUGGUGCCAAGUAAACAGAGUUCUAGUUCACCCUCAAUUUGGAGUGCCGUCUCUUAUUGGGGGAAUCUGCGACAAGGGAUUGCUAUGCUUGACAUACUCCCUUACUAAAUCACUACUAAGCUCUUGUAAGAGCUUGUUCCUGCCUUGCUCUCUGGAGGAGUCUACAGUGAUUAUGGUGUUGGCUGGAGUGCUUGGAGCCCUCAGGAAGCGCUAGGAGCAUC